rnacentral:RNase_P_RNA from 1 species
GCGGGCGGAUUGCAAUCGCUUUGCUAUAUGUGUUUGCAAAGAGGAAAGUCCGAACUUUACCGGCGUUCGAAACUUUGUUUCGGCGCCGAAAACGGUAGCAGGCAAUUCCUGCGGCUCGUAAGAGUAAAGGUGCGAACAGAGACGCUUUUGCCGGAAACGGCAGGAGUAUCCCCGCAAGGGGAUAAGUUUUUGCGGCAACGCAAAAAGUGAAACGGCUAAAUCCUUACCGGAAAGCAAGGCCGAAGUAUGGCCGCUUGACCGUUAAAAGCGAUUUUAACGGCAGAGAAAUGAUUGCGCUUCGGGAAACCGGAGACAGAAUUCGGUGUAUGAUCCGCCCUUUAAC